rnacentral:rRNA from 1 species
GUGUCAGCCGCCGCGGUAAUACGGAGGGGGCUAGCGUUGUUCGGAAUUACUGGGCGUAAAGCGUACGUAGGCGGCUUUUUAAGUCAGAGGUGAAAUCCCACGACUCAAUCGUGGAACUGCCUUUGAGACUGGAUCGCUUGAAGAUGGGAGAGGUAAGUGGAAUUCCGAGUGUAGAGGUGAAAUUCGUAGAUAUUCGGAAGAACACCAGUGGCGAAGGCGGCUUACUGGACCAUUCUUGACGCUGAGGUACGAAAGCGUGGGGAGCAAACAGGAUUAGAUACCCUCGUAGUCC